rnacentral:lncRNA from 1 species
UAAAAGUGAUUCCUGCAUAUACAUAGAUAUGUUUGGAAAAUUAAAAAUCAAUGGGAAAUAUUGAUUCUAAGCACUUCAUACUAGUAUAAAUGUGUUAACAUACACAUAUGCACAGAUAUAAUUACAUCGGUAUAUCCGAAUAUGGAUUUAGUAGCGGUCUAUUUGUUUCGAGUUUCCACACUCAACAACUCUAGUUUGCUCUUACAAUGGACACCUAUUCGAUGGCGGAUCUAGGAUUUUUUACAAGGGGUGGGCUAAUUUUUUUUUAUUUUUUAUAGACACCUAUGUGAUUCGGACUACAGUCGGGUCCUCCACCAAAACACCCACAAGCUCAAGCUGGUCAAACCACCUCUUCAACAUUGGCUCAUAACUUCUUCACAACAUAAAACCACCAUCAAUACGUAAAUAGAGAAACGCAUGGAAAAAGAAGAAGAGAGAAAUAGAGACUUAACAAAACAAAAGAGAAACAAAUAGAGAAGACAAAAGGAAAGCAAGAGAAAAGAAAUGGUGGAGAGAAGGAAGAAGACAAGAAAAGAUAGAGAAGAAAGAAAAAGAAGAGAGAAAAGAGGGAGAAAAGAAAGAAGAAAAGGGGCGAAGGGAUUAAAGAAGAAAGAGAAAGAAAAUAAGAAAAAGGAAAGAGAAAACAAAGAGAGAUAGAGAGAAACUUGGGAAUAAAAUUUGAUUUAUCUAAAUUUGACUUAAAAAUUAAGCCUACUCUAAAAAAUAGGACUAGGCUAGAGCCCGUUGCAGCCCUAAGGCUAUCUCUAACCCAUAAGGCCAAAUCCAAAAAAUUUCAAAUUAUAUCCCAAUAUCUCUCCCAACCCAAUAAAAGUAAGAGACCAAAAUAUGGUUAAACCCAAACUUAGGACCAAAUACUAGUCCAGCUAUUGACUGAAUUUUUUGUGUGGAGCCCACACAACCAUGAUGUAGCCCAUGUACAAGGAGGAAAGAAUUGGGCCCGCGUUGCUGUGCUGUAGAAUAUGUCACGCCAGUUGUCGCGCUGGUUCGCAGUAGUUUUUUAUUAUAUUUUAUUAUAUUUUUAAAAAUCUUAAAAUUCCAAUAGUAAUCCAAAUCAACGAUCCAUAUUAAAUCGAAGAUUUUAAUGGUAAAAAAAUAAGAUCCAACGGUUGAAAUUUAAAUCCACCAGCUAAAAUAAUAUUUUAAAUUAAUCUAAAUCAUAUCCAACUCUAAAACUCAC